rnacentral:rRNA from 1 species
UACGUAGGCAGCGAGCGUUGUUCGGAAUUACUGGGCGUAAAGAGUGUGUAGGCGGUGUUCCCAGUCUGUUGUGAAAUCUCCUGGCUUACCUGGGAGGAUGGUCGCCAGACGGGAUCGCUUGAGGGUCGGAGAGGGGCGUGGAAUUCCGGGUGGAGCGGUGAAAUGCGUAGAGAUCCGGAGGAACACCGACGGCGUAGGCAGCGCCCUGGACGACACCUGACGCUGAGGCACGAAAGCUGGGGGAGCGAACAGG